GAUGAAGAACGUAGCGAAAUGCGAUAAGUAGUGUGAAUUGCAGAAUUCCGUGAAUCAUCGAGUCUUUGAACGCACAUUGCGCCUCAUGGCAUUCCGUGAGGCAUGCCCAUCUCAGCGUUAGAAAAUAUUCUCAAAUUUUAGUUUUGUGCUAAAAUUUGGAUCAUGUCAAGGAAGCUAUUACUAUUAUUGUGAUCGCUCUUUGGAAAUUGAUAGGUCUUUGAGUUGCUACUCAUAGAACGUGAUGAAUCUUUCUUCGUUCUAUUGUAAUUCACUCUGGUAGUCCUAAAACUUGUAUGCCUGUGGCAUAUCUUGUAAUUUGACCUGAGAUUGGGUAGGGAUACCCGCUGAACUUAAGCAUAUCAAAAGCGGAGGA
rnacentral:misc_RNA from 1 species